rnacentral:rRNA from 1 species
CCUUGUACACACCGUCCGUCACACCAUGGAAGCAAGCAACACCCGAAGCCGGUGGCCUAACCCGCAAGGGAGGGAGCCGUCGAAGGUGGGGCUCGUGACUGGGGUG